GCUACGGGUGGCAGCAGUGAGGAAUAUUGGUCAAUGGGCGCGAGCCUGAACCAGCCAAGUCGCGUGAGGGAUGACGGCCCUACGGGUUGUAAACCUCUUUUGCCGGGGAGCAACGGGCGCCACGUGUGGCGCCACUGAGAGUACCCGGAGAAAAAGCAUCGGCUAACUCCGUGCCAGCAGCCGCGGUAAUACGGAGGAUGCGAGCGUUAUCCGGAUUUAUUGGGUUUAAAGGGUGCGUAGGCGGAUCGUGAAGUCAGUGGUCAAAUUGAGGGGCUCAACCCCUUCCCGCCAUUGAAACUGGCGAACUGGAGUGGAAGAGAGGUAUGCGGAAUGCGUGGGGUAGCGGUGAAAGGCGUAGAUAUCGCGCAGAACCCCGAUUGCGAAGGCAGCAUGCCGGCUUCCGACUGACGCUGAAGCACGAAAGCGUGGGGAUCGAACAGGAUUAGAUACCCGAGUAGUC
rnacentral:rRNA from 1 species